GGCUAGUUCCUAUGAUACUGGGCUAUCAGAAUUUAACAUCCACAUUCAUGUCACUAAAGUCCCCACUGCUAAAUUUGACUGGCUUUAA
ensembl:misc_RNA Y_RNA Y RNA